UAAAAGCUUGCUUUUAAAAGUCAGCGGCGGACGGGUGAGUAACACGUGGGCAACCUGCCUGUAAGACUGGGAUAACUUCGGGAAACCGGAGCUAAUACCGGAUACGUUCUUCUCUCGCAUGAGAGAAGAUGGAAAGAUGGUUUCGGCUAUCACUUACAGAUGGGCCCGCGGCGCAUUAGCUAGUUGGUGGGGUAAUGGCCCACCAAGGCGACGAUGCGUAGCCGACCUGAGAGGGUGAUCGGCCACACUGGGAUUGAGACACGGCCCAGACUCCUACGGGAGGCAGCAGUAGGGAAUCUUCCGCAAUGGACGAAAAUCUGACGGAGCAACGCCGCGUGAACGAUGAAGGCUUUCGGGUCGUAAAGUUCUGUUGUUAGGGAAGAA
rnacentral:rRNA from 1 species